CUCCAGAUGUUGCUGAAGUACAACUCCCAUGAUUCUCAGCCUAUUUCAUAGAAUCAUGGGAGUUGUAGUUCAGCAACAUCUGGGG